rnacentral:rRNA from 1 species
UGGGGAAUAUUGGACAAUGGGCGAAAGCCUGAUCCAGCCAUGCCGCGUGUGUGAAGAAGGUCUUCGGAUUGUAAAGCACUUUAAGUUGGGAGGAAGGGCAUUAACCUAAUACGUUAGUGUUUUGACGUUACCGACAGAAUAAGCACCGGCUAACUCUGUGCCAGCAGCCGCGGUAAUACAGAGGGUGCAAGCGUUAAUCGGAAUUACUGGGCGUAAAGCGCGCGUAGGUGGUUUGUUAAGGUGGAUGUGAAAUCCACGGGCUCAACCUGGGAACUGCAUUCAAAACUGACUGACUAGAGUAUGGUAGAGGGUGGUGGAAUUUCCUGUGUAGCGGUGAAAUGCGUAGAUAUAGGAAGGAACACCAGUGGCGAAGGCGACCACCUGGACUAAUACUGACACUGAGGUGCGAAAGCGUGGGGAGCAAACA